GGUUAAGCGACUAAGCGUACACGGUGGAUGCCCUGGCAGUCAGAGGCGAUGAAGGGCGUGCUAAUCUGCGAUAAGCGCCGGUAAGGUGAUAUGAACCGUUAUAACCGGCGAUACCCGAAUGGGGAAACCCAGUGUGAUUCGUCACACUAUCAUUAACUGAAUCCAUAGGUUAAUGAGGCGAACCGGGGGAACUGAAACAUCUAAGUACCCCGAGGAAAAGAAAUCAACCGAGAUUCCCCCAGUAGCGGCGAGCGAACGGGGAGGAGCCCAGAGCCUGAAUCAGCAUGUGUGUUAGUGGAAGCGUCUGGAAAGUCGCGCGAUACAGGGUGACAGCCCCGUACACAAAAGCGCAUGUGUUGUGAGCUCGAUGAGUAGGGCGGGACACGUGGUAUCCUGUCUGAAUAUGGGGGGACCAUCCUCCAAGGCUAAAUACUCCUGACUGACCGAUAGUGAACCAGUACCGUGAGGGAAAGGCGAAAAGAACCCCGGCGAGGGGAGUGAAAAAGAACCUGAAACCGUGUACGUACAAGCAGUGGGAGCCCCACCACCAAAGCAUUCUCUGGUGUUGAAGGCCCUGCAAAGCAGCAUCGCGGUGGCGGAGCGUCGUUUGCGACGCCCAACACACAAAACAAGCGGUGAGUGCUUUGGGGUGGGGUGACUGCGUACCUUUUGUAUAAUGGGUCAGCGACUUAUAUUCUGUAGCAAGGUUAACCGUAUAGGGGAGCCGGAGGGAAACCGAGUCUUAAUUGGGCGUUAAGUUGCAGGGUAUAGACCCGAAACCCGGUGAUCUAGCCAUGGGCAGGUUGAAGGUUGGGUAACACUAACUGGAGGACCGAACCGACUAAUGUUGAAAAAUUAGCGGAUGACCUGUGGCUGGGGGUGAAAGGCCAAUCAAACCGGGAGAUAGCUGGUUCUCCCCGAAAGCUAUUUAGGUAGCGCCUCGUGAAUUCAUCUCCGGGGGUAGAGCACUGUUUCGGCUAGGGGGCCAUCCCGGCUUACCAACCCGAUGCAAACUGCGAAUACCGGAGAAUGUUAUCACGGGAGACACUCGGCGGGUGCUAACGUCCGUCGUGAAGAGGGAAACAACCCAGACCGCCAGCUAAGGUCCCAAAGUCAUGGUUAAGUGGGAAACGAUGUGGGAAGGCCCAGACAGCCAGGAUGUUGGCUUAGAAGCAGCCAUCAUUUAAAGAAAGCGUAAUAGCUCACUGGUCGAGUCGGCCUGCGCGGAAGAUGUAACGGGGCUAAACCAUGCACCGAAGCUGCGGCAGCGACACUGUGUGUUGUUGGGUAGGGGAGCGUUCUGUAAGCCUGUGAAGGUGUGUCGUGAGGCAUGCUGGAGGUAUCAGAAGUGCGAAUGCUGACAUAAGUAACGAUAAAGCGGGUGAAAAGCCCGCUCGCCGGAAGACCAAGGGUUCCUGUCCAACGUUAAUCGGGGCAGGGUGAGUCGACCCCUAAGGCGAGGCCGAAAGGCGUAGUCGAUGGGAAACGGGUUAAUAUUCCCGUACUUGGUGUUACUGCGAAGGGGGGACGGAGAAGGCUAUGUUGGCCGGGCGACGGUUGUCCCGGUUUAAGCGUGUAGGUGUGUGUUCCAGGUAAAUCCGGUUCACUUUAACACUGAGGCGUGACGACGAGGCACUACGGUGCUGAAGCAACAAAUGCCCUGCUUCCAGGAAAAGCCUCUAAGCAUCAGGUAACAUCAAAUCGUACCCCAAACCGACACAGGUGGUCAGGUAGAGAAUACCAAGGCGCUUGAGAGAACUCGGGUGAAGGAACUAGGCAAAAUGGUGCCGUAACUUCGGGAGAAGGCACGCUGACACGUAGGUGAAGUGAUUUACUCAUGGAGCUGAAGUCAGUCGAAGAUACCAGCUGGCUGCAACUGUUUAUUAAAAACACAGCACUGUGCAAACACGAAAGUGGACGUAUACGGUGUGACGCCUGCCCGGUGCCGGAAGGUUAAUUGAUGGGGUCAGCGCAAGCGAAGCUCCUGAUCGAAGCCCCGGUAAACGGCGGCCGUAACUAUAACGGUCCUAAGGUAGCGAAAUUCCUUGUCGGGUAAGUUCCGACCUGCACGAAUGGCGUAAUGAUGGCCAGGCUGUCUCCACCCGAGACUCAGUGAAAUUGAACUCGCUGUGAAGAUGCAGUGUACCCGCGGCAAGACGGAAAGACCCCGUGAACCUUUACUAUAGCUUGACACUGAACAUUGAGCCUUGAUGUGUAGGAUAGGUGGGAGGCUUUGAAGUGUGGACGCCAGUCUGCAUGGAGCCGACCUUGAAAUACCACCCUUUAAUGUUUGAUGUUCUAACGUGGACCCGUUACCCGGGUUGCGGACAGUGUCUGGUGGGUAGUUUGACUGGGGCGGUCUCCUCCUAAAGAGUAACGGAGGAGCACGAAGGUUGGCUAAUCCUGGUCGGACAUCAGGAGGUUAGUGCAAUGGCAUAAGCCAGCUUGACUGCGAGCGUGACGGCGCGAGCAGGUGCGAAAGCAGGUCAUAGUGAUCCGGUGGUUCUGAAUGGAAGGGCCAUCGCUCAACGGAUAAAAGGUACUCCGGGGAUAACAGGCUGAUACCGCCCAAGAGUUCAUAUCGACGGCGGUGUUUGGCACCUCGAUGUCGGCUCAUCACAUCCUGGGGCUGAAGUAGGUCCCAAGGGUAUGGCUGUUCGCCAUUUAAAGUGGUACGCGAGCUGGGUUUAGAACGUCGUGAGACAGUUCGGUCCCUAUCUGCCGUGGGCGCUGGAGAACUGAGGGGGGCUGCUCCUAGUACGAGAGGACCGGAGUGGACGCAUCACUGGUGUUCGGGUUGUCAUGCCAAUGGCACUGCCCGGUAGCUAAAUGCGGAAGAGAUAAGUGCUGAAAGCAUCUAAGCACGAAACUUGCCCCGAGAUGAGUUCUCCCUGAGACUUUAGGUCUCCUGAAGGAACGUUGAAGACGACGACGUUGAUAGGCCGGGUGUGUAAGCGCAGCGAUGCGUUGAGCUAACCGGUACUAAUGAACCGUGAGGCUUAACCUU
rnacentral:rRNA from 1 species